rnacentral:rRNA from 1 species
GACGAACGCUGGCGGCGUGCUUAACACAUGCAAGUCGAACGGUAAGGCCCUUCGGGGUACACGAGUGGCGAACGGGUGAGUAACACGUGGGUGAUCUGCCCUGCACUUCGGGAUAAGCCUGGGAAACUGGGUCUAAUACCGGAUAGGACUCCGGACUGCAUGGUCUGGGGUGGAAAGCUUUUGCGGUGUGGGAUGGGCCCGCGGCCUAUCAGCUUGUUGGUGGGGUGAUGGCCUACCAAGGCGACGACGGGUAGCCGGCCUGAGAGGGUGACCGGCCACACUGGGACUGAGAUACGGCCCAGACUCGUACGGGAGGCAGCAGUGGGGAAUAUUGCACAAUGGGCGCAAGCCUGAUGCAGCGACGCCGCGUGAGGGAUGACGGCCUUCGGGUUGUAAACCUCUUUCAGCAUCGACGAAGCGAAAGUGACGGUAGGUGCAGAAGAAGGACCGACCAACUACGUGCCAGCAGCCGCAGUAA